rnacentral:rRNA from 1 species
UAUGGUAAGUGCCAGCAGCCGCGGUAAUACGGAAGGUCCGGGCGUUAUCCGGAUUUAUUGGGUUUAAAGGGAGCGUAGGCCGGAGAUUAAGCGUGUUGUGAAAUGUAGACGCUCAACGUCUGCACUGCAGCGCGAACUGGUUUCCUUGAGUACGCACAAAGUGGGCGGAAUUCGUGGUGUAGCGGUGAAAUGCUUAGAUAUCACGAAGAACUCCGAUUGCGAAGGCAGCUCACUGGAGCGCAACUGACGCUGAAGCUCGAAAGUGCGGGUAUCGAACAGG